rnacentral:misc_RNA from 1 species
AGGUGAAAUGUGGAAGGUGUGGAGAGUUGAGCCAGAAAGAAACAUGUGUGACCUUGAAUGAGACUGUUCCUGUUCCAGCAAGCAAGGGAACCGCUAAUCUUGUUCAGAAGUGCAAGUUUUGUGGGAGGGAGGGAACUGUGUUGAUGGUGCCCGGCAAGGGUAAGCUGCUUACCCAGGAAAUCAGUGAUACAGGGAAAUAUGCCCCAUUGAUGAUGUUUGACUGCAGAGGCUAUGAACCUGAGGGUUUUGUAUUUGGUAGUGGGUGGAAAGCUGAGUCUGUAAGUUUCUGAUCUUGAAUAUAUCCCUUCAUUUCUUCUCUUUAUUAUUGGAUAUGAGCCAAUAAAUGUUUCCAGGUUCAAUUAAAGCUAGUUUUUUUUCCCCAUCUGAUGGGAUUGUAUGGUAAUGUGUAAGUCAGGUAGUAAACUGCCGGUUCAUCCAUGCUUUCAUUUGCAGUGAGACAUGAAGCCUUGUAUCACUUUUGUUGCUGAGCUAUAAUUUUAUGCGUUUGACAUCAUUAAUUUUCAGUCUUUUGAGUGGACAAGAAUGAAGGUUACCUAUUCUCUGUGAAAUAUUUAUAAACUUUUCACUUGGGAAUAAUUUGGUUUCCCAGAAGAAAAUUUUCAGAGGUAAACCUUCAAUAAUUUGGUUCCUUACAUUAUUUAUUGAUAAGGAAACAUACAAUUCUGUAUUGUAUUAGAAGGACAUUCCAUGUCUAAUGAGCUUCAGAUGCAUCACAGCAUUGGGACUUGAAAGUAUGAGAGUUGCUCUUUACCAUUUUUAUGCAUAUUUUUGUAAGAGUAUAUCUUGUAUGACACAAAAUAGGAUUUUUCUAUUGUGGUCAAUGCUAAAAUGUUAAAUAUUCUCAAUAUGAGAAAAUAGAAUUUGGAUUUUCUUUCUUCUAUUUGUCUCUGAUGCAUUUGAGUCUGCGUGUUGGAGGAGAAAGAGAGGAGAAAGUAUAGACUUCACUGCUUAUCAGUAUAUUCAACACAAGCCUGUUUAAAGAUUUCAACGUAUAUUGUUGGAAUGUCACUUCAUUUUGAAGUGUUUACAUGGUUAUGCUUUUAUUUUUCAGCUUACAGUAUAUCAUAUAUGUAGGCUGCAGGGACUAAAUACGAAGAUAUUGAUUUGUCUGGAGGUGAAUUUGCUGAAUAUGAUGAAAAGGGGGAGUGCCCAGUAAUGAUUUCCAACCUUCGUUCCAAAUUUGAAGUUGUGAAGUGAUCACAAUCUCUAAGAGUAUAUAAUACUAAUUUAUCGUGUGGAUAAGGUAGAACGGCUUGAAUGCUAUCUGUACUAUUUAAUGAAACAUGAAACUGGUAUCUGGCUGCCAUUUCGAUGUGAGUUUUCGAGUUUGGAAAUAUCCUUAGACAAUCUGUUCAAUUGCUGUUGACUGAUUAACAAAUUAACGAAUGAUACCAUCUCAGGAAUAUG